rnacentral:rRNA from 1 species
CUACGGGGUGCUGCAGUGGGGAAUAUUGCGCAAUGGGCGAAAGCCUGACGCAGCAACGCCGCGUGAGUGAUGAAGGCCUUCGGGUCGUAAAGCUCUGUCGGGAGGGAAGAACACCUUCGGGUCUGACGGUACCUCCCGAGGAAGCACAGGCUAACUCCGUGCCAGCAGCCGCGGUAAUACGGAGUGUGCAAGCGUUGUUCGGAAUUACUGGGCGUAAAGCGCGCGUAGGCGGCUUGAUAAGUCAGAUGUGAAAUCCCUCGGCUUAACCGAGGAACUGCAUUUGAAACUGUCAGGCUUGAGUACGGGAGGGGGAAGCGGAAUUCCCAGUGUAGAGGUGAAAUUCGUAGAUAUUGGGAGGAACACCAGCGGCGAAGGCGGCUUCCUGGACCGAUACUGACGCUGAGGCGCGAAAGCGUGGGGAGCAAACAGGAUUAGAUACCCCCGUAGUC